GAUCAUGGCUCAGGAUGAACGCUAGCUACAGGCUUAACACAUGCAAGUCGAGGGGAAACGACAUCGAAAGCUUGCUUUUGAUGGGCGUCGACCGGCGCACGGGUGAGUAACGCGUAUCCAACCUGCCCAUCACUUGGGAAUAACCUUAGCGAGAGUAAGACUAAUACCCAAUGAUAUCCCACGAAGGCAUCCGAAUGGGAUUAAAGAUUUAUCGGUGAUGGAUGGGGAUGCGU
rnacentral:rRNA from 1 species